CUUCAUACUACCGUGGGUUUUUUAAACCUUCCGAGUUUUGUUGAUGUUAUUCCGAGAAUUAGCAAACCGUAACGAAGAUGUUCUUGGCAACCAUCUUUUGAUGGGAGUCCGGCUGUUCGAAAGCCGGCCAAGGGUGAUGAACGAAAUGUGAACCCUUGUCUCGCCUAGGUUGGAUGGG
rnacentral:misc_RNA from 1 species